ACGCGAGGGAGACGUACAGGGACCAGAUUCAGAGCACGGGAGCGGACGGGAUCGACCCGAACAACAUCGGGCUUCAGAUGGCCAAGCUGCACGAGCUCGAAGGUCAGCUGCUCAACGAGCGCGGCGACAAGGCGGAGCUCCUCGCGGAGAAGGAGGCGUUGAUCGAGCGCCUCCAACGGCUCAACGGCAUGGACAAGGCGAACCUCGCGGAGAAGGAGGAGCUCCAAAAGGCGCUCAUCGCGUCCGAGGAGGAUCGCCUCGAGAUUGCCCGCGCGUUGGUCGAGGCGCAGCUCGAGGCUAACGAGGC
rnacentral:lncRNA from 1 species